CAGGGAAUCUUCGGCAAUGGACGAAAGUCUGAUCGAGCAACGCUGCGUGAGUGAAGAAGGUUUUCGGAUCGUAAAACUCCGUUGUUAGAGAAGAACAAGGACGUUAGUAACUGAACGUCCCCUGACGGUAUCUAACCAGAAAGCCACGGCUAACUACGUGCCAGCAGCCGCGGUAAUACGUAGGUGGCAAGCGUUGUCCGGAUUUAUUGGGCGUAAAGCGAGCGCAGGCGGUUUCUUAAGUCUGAUGUGAAAGCCCCCGGCUCAACCGGGGAGGGUCAUUGGAAACUGGGAGACUUGAGUGCAGAAGAGGGGAGUGGAAUUCCAUGUGUGGCGGUGAAAUGCGUAGAUAUAUGGAAGAACACCAGUGGCGAAGGCGGCUCUCUGGUCUGUAACUGACGCUGAGGCUCGGAAGCGUGGGGAACAAACAGG
rnacentral:rRNA from 1 species